rnacentral:rRNA from 1 species
GAUGAACGCUGGCGGCGUGCUUAACACAUGCAAGUCGAACGGGAAAUAUUUCAUUGAGACUUCGGUGGAUUUGAUUUAUUUCUAGUGGCGGACGGGUGAGUAACGCGUGGGUAACCUGCCUUAUACAGGGGGAUAACAGUCAGAAAUGGCUGCUAAUACCGCAUAAGCGCACAGAGCUGCUUGGCUCAGUGUGAAAAACUCCGGUGGUAUAAGAUGGACCCGCGUUGGAUUAGCUAGUUGGUGGGGUAACGGCCCACCAAGGCGACGAUCCAUAGCCGGCCUGAGAGGGUGAACGGCCACAUUGGGACUGAGACACGGCCCAGACUCCUACGGGAGGCAGCAGUGGGGAAUAUUGCACAAUGGGGGAAACCCUGAUGCAGCGACGCCGCGUGAAGGAAGAAGUAUCUCGGUAUGUAAACUUCUAUCAGCAGGGAAGAUAGUGACGGUACCUGACGAAGAAGCCCCGGCUAACUACGUG